rnacentral:rRNA from 1 species
GGGCGUAAGCGAGCGCGGCGGUUUCUUAAGUCUGAUGUGAAAGCCCCCGGCUCAACCGGGGAGGGUCAUUGGAAACUGGGAAACUUGAGUGCGAAGAGGAGAGUGGAAUUCCAUGUGUAGCGGUGAAAUGCGUAAUAUGUGGAGGAACACCAGUGGCGAAGGCGACUCUCUGGUCUGUAACUGACGCUGAGGCUCGAAAGCGUGGGGAGCGAACAGGAUUA